UACGGAGGGUGCAAGCGUUGUUCGGAAUUAUUGGGCGUAAAGGGCUCGUAGGCGGUUUGUCGCGUCGGGAGUGAAAAUCCAGGGCUUAACUCUGGACUGGCUUUCGAUACGGGCAGACUAGAGGUAUGCAGGGGAGAACGGAAUUCCUGGUGUAGCGGUGAAAUGCGCAGAUAUCAGGAGGAACACCGGUGGCGAAGGCGGUUCUCUGGGCAUUACCUGACGCUGAGGAGCGAAAGUGUGGGGAGCGAACGGG
rnacentral:rRNA from 1 species